rnacentral:rRNA from 1 species
GACGGAGGAUGCAAGCGUUAUCCGGAAUGAUUGGGCGUAAAGCGUCCGCAGGUGGCAGUUCAAGUCUGCUGUCAAAGACCGGGGCUUAACUUCGGAAAGGCAGUGGAAACUGAACAGCUAGAGUAUGGUAGGGGCAGAGGGAAUUCCUGGUGUAGCGGUGAAAUGCGUAGAUAUCGGAAGGAACAUCAGUGGCGAAAGCGACUGCCUGGCCCAAUACUGACACUCAAGUGCGAAAGCGUGGGGAGCAAACAGG